UAGUAGCUUUAAUUUAGGUUUAUUGCAGUUUAGUCGAAAGCCGGUGAGAUUAGCGGUGGCAAGCGAGGUGGGCGUAGCGAGAUUAGGGUUUUGUUUUGUGGAAGAGAUGGCUCUGAUGUCCCUUCUUAAGGCGGAUCCGGUCAUGGCUAAGGGGUUUGUCUGUUUUCCAUCGGCUUUCUGUUUCAGUUGGUGAUGGUGCUCGGCGACGGGUUUCAGCGGCUCUCUGGGUUCUCUGAUCUUCUCGCGAGUUGUCGUCCUCCUCACUUGCUUCCAGAUCUUUUUGUUCUGGCUCUCUUUUUUCGGGCUUCUGGGUUGUCCGACGGUUCUUUGAGCGGAUCUGGAUGCUCUUUCAACCGGGAUAAUUUGCACAAAAGCAAUCAGAGAUGGAGACGCAUCAUUUUCGGAGAAGGCCAAUGGUUGUCUACGAGUUAUCGUCAUUUGUGUCGCCGCCCGUCUUCAUAGUUUGUUGUGCGGGAAUUCACUGUGAUGAGCUGAAAAACUUGAAGCAAUGCUGCGAUGGUUCCUCAUUUGUCAUUGUUAAAAUCUGUCCUAGGUGUAGGAUUGGAAAUGUCAUUUGUUUCUCUUAUGGUUCAAAGUUGGUUUCUCCCUUGA